AGGAAAAGGAAAGGUUAACCGCUAUCAA
rnacentral:sRNA from 1 species